rnacentral:tRNA from 1 species
GUUUUACUAAAAGGUAAUGGGGGAUUAAAAAACACUGCGGAAUGAUUAAGUAAUAUCCCUCCUAAGGAAGGGGUCGGACGUUCGAAUCGUCUCGGGGACGCCA